AUUACCCCACUCUUUCUUAAACCAUUUUCCACCGUCUGUACCACUCUGUUGUUGACCUUUACCUUGAUCCGAUUAUUGAAACUUCUUAUUCUGCCUUUCACUCAUCUCUUCUUACGUCUUCUUUUCCUCUUCCACUUGUUGCAUAUAAACCACAAGUCUAGAUAUGUCCAUAUCCUUGUUCAACAAGGCAGUCUUACUUUCCAAGACCAAAUCACGGGACAGCCC
rnacentral:lncRNA from 1 species